UUCCGGUUGAUCCUGCCGGAGGCGACUGCUAUUGGGGUUCGACUUAACCAUGCGAGUCAUGCUGACUUCGGUUAGCGGCAUACGGCUCAGUAACACGUGGGUAACCUACUCUCAGGACGGGAAUAACUCCGGGAAACUGGAGCUAAUACCCGGCAGAUACAGGAUUCUGGAAUGAUUUUGUGUCAAAAGCUCCGGCGCCUGAGAAUGGGCCCGCGGCUGAUUAGGUUGUUGGUGAGGUAAUGGCCCACCAAGCCUGCGAUCGGUACGGGCAGUGAGAGCUGGAGCCCGGAGAUGGGGACUGAGACAAGGCCCCAGGCCCUACGGGGCGCAGCAGGUGCGAAAACUCGCCAAUGCUCGAAAGAGUGAGCGGGGAACCCCAAGUGCCCUUGUAUUGCAAGGGCUUUUCUCUGGUGUUAGGAGCCAGGGGAAUAAGGGCUGGGUAAGACUGGUGCCAGCCGCCGCGGUAACACCAGCAGCCCAAGUGGUCGCCGUUUUUAUUGGGCCUAAAGCGUCCGUAGCCGGAUGGAUAAGUCUCUAGGUAAAUCUUACGUUUAAGCGUAAGGCUUCUGGAGAUACUGUCAAUCUUGAGGCCGGGAGAGGUUGGAGGUACUCCCAGGGUAGGGGUAAAAUCCUGUAAUCCUGGGGGGACCACCGGUGGCGAAGGCGUCCAACUGGAACGGGCCUGACGGUGAGGGACGAAACCCAGGGGAGCGAGCCGGAUUAGAUACCCGGGUAGUCCUGGGCGUAAAUGAUGCGGACUAGGUGUGGGGGUAUCCACGAGAUACCUCUGUGCCGAAGGGAAGCCAUUAAGUCCGCCGCCUGGGGAGUACGGCCGCAAGGCUGAAACUUAAAGGAAUUGGCGGGGGAGCAC
rnacentral:rRNA from 1 species